rnacentral:rRNA from 1 species
UACGGGGCGCAGCAGGCGCGAAACCUCCGCAAUGGGCGAAAGCCCGACGGGGUCAGUCCGAGUGGCUCCCGCUAAGGGAGUCUUUUGCCAGCUGUAAAAAGGCUGGCGAAUAAGGGGUGGGCAAGUCUGGUGUCAGCCGCCGCGGUAAUACCAGCACCCCGAGUGGUCGGGACGAUUAUUGGGCCUAAAGCAUCCGUAGCCGGUGUGGCAAGUCCUCCGUUAAAUCCACUUGCUCAACAAGUGGGCUGCGGAGGAUACUGCUACACUAGGGGGCGGGAGAGGCGAGGGGUAUUCCACGGGUAGGGGUAAAAUCCUCUGAUCCGUGGAGGACCACCAGUGGCGAAGGCGCCUCGCCAGAACGCGCCCGACGGUGAGGGAUGAAAGCUGGGGGAGCAAACCGGAUUAGAUACCCGGGUAGUCCCAGCCGUAAACGAUGUAGGCUCGGUGAUGGGCUGGCUCCGAGCCAGCCCAGUGCCGCAGGGAAGCCGUUAAGCCUACCGCCUGGGGAGUACGGCCGCAAGGCUGAAACUUAAAGGAAUUGGCGGGGGAGCACCACAAGGGGUGAAGCCUGCGGUUCAAUUGGAGUCAACGCCGGGAAUCUUACCAGGGGGCGACAGCAGGAUGAAGGUCAGGCUGAAGACCUUACCGGACGAGCUGAGAGGAGGU